CCUGCCUUUCCAUGCCACGUGUGUUUCAGGUAUGUCCUGCCACAUGGGCUGUUGCACCAGGGACUGCAUUGUCUUAGAAUGUUCCUUCCCCCCUGGCAGUUGCUCACAGCCUCCAUUCCUAUCACAGCCACCUGGAUGGAAAGUAAUCCCCUGCUCUGAGCCUUCAUUCCCCUUCCCACUUGAUUUUUGUUGUUCUUGGAAUAAGUCCCUUCCUAAUGAGCCGUGCAACUAAUUAUUUCCUUGUUUAUUGACUGUCUACUUGGCAGUAGGCAAGCUGUAUGAGGAUGAAUGGAGAGUGUUUUCUGCUUCCUGCUUCCUGCUUCCUGUUUCCUGAUUCCUGCUUUCUGCUUCUCACUUCCUGCUUCCUGCUUCCCACUUCCUGCUUCAGGGCCCGCAUUCACCUGAUACUCCACAGCCCAACUAGUACCACAUCUCAGCUAAUCUUGGAGAUCCAACAGCUGAUGGGAGCUAUGCCUCCAGGUGAUUCUCAGGCGCUCCAGGUCUACUGUUUAGCACGAACCCAGGUAUGCAUUCAGAUCCCCCCUAAAUAAAGAAACAUUCGAACAAGCUAAGAUCGUUUCAGAGAGCUGCUUCAUUAAAGAUCAUCAGAGAAGACCUCCAUCUGGAUUCUGCUUCACUCCCUCCUGGCCUGGCAGGCAGCUGCGUCUGGCACCCUGAAGGGAAAAGGUGUUGUACAUCCCUGGAGAGCUGUGGUGUUGGAGGAGACUGGAAAAACUGCAAAAGAAUCAGAAAAAAUAAUUCAACUUGCUGUUAAUGUCGUGUCUCUGGAGUGACGAUAAUGUCUCCACCGGGGCCUUCAUCGGAGGACCUGCAGCCUGAAAACAGGCCCCGAGUCAGCCUUUCCGGCGACCCUGUUAGCACCUAGAAGGGCUCAUGACAUCUCCCCACGGUCUCCUUGCUACUCUCUACCCAGACACUGCAGAGCCUUCCUCCAGCUCUCCCGCCGCAAGUUGGAUGUUUCAUUGGCAGCAUCACACCCCACCACAAAACAUCAAAUAGCCCCAUGAUAUUCGCAGUAAAGGCAG
rnacentral:lncRNA from 1 species